rnacentral:misc_RNA from 1 species
AAGGAAAAAGCCUUCAGAGGUGAAAGUCGGGCAUAAGUUUCUUCAAGGUACGCAUAUUCCCCUUCAUGUUAAAAGUCAAAGCUGCGAUAAAUUUUAUAUAAAGAUUAGAUGCUUCUGUUAUAUUUGCAUAGGACUUUGUCUCUGCACAUUCUUGAUUCCUCAAUUUGCCUUAAGCUUGAUUCCUCCCGCUGGACUCGUCUUUCUUUUCUUUUGCUGUUAUAGAUGAGUACAUAAAUAUGCUUAUUUUUGGCUAGCAGCUUCAACUUAUAUAUAUAUGGUAAUGGAUCACGUGCAGGCAAUCUUGAAGUUAGAAUCAUGCAUAGGAACAUGAACAACAACAACGACACCAUCUGCAAGGCUUUCACUGGUGGAAUUUUAACCGAUUUUCUGUUUGGUGCUAAAAGCCUCUUUGUAACGGUGGCUUGUUCAUGUUAAUUGGGUGCUAUCCUACCUGAG